GGAAGGGCUGUGGCUCAGUGGUAGAGCACAUGUUUUGCAUUUAGAAGUUGCCAGGUUCAAUCCCUGGUAUCUCCA